CAAUGUGUCUCACGUCAAUGUUUCUCUCUCUGUCUCUUCCCCUCCUUUCCACUCUCUCUACAAAAAGAGUCAAUGGAAAAAUAUCCUGAGGUGAGGAUUAACAACAACAACAAAGAUUCAGGCCCUGAAACUUGGGAGUGAGUCCGAUGCUGUCUUAGAGUCCCAGCAUGAAGCAGAUGACAUAUUAAAACUAAUUAAAUAGCCUGACUGAUGUAGCUCAGUGUUUGAGUUUCAACCUAUGAACCAGGAGGUCUGUGGGGUCAGGGCACAUGCCCAGGUUUUGGGCUUGAUCACCAGUAAGGGGCAUGUGUGCAGGAAGAAGUCGAUAAAUGAUUCUCUCUCAUCACUGAUGUUUAUAUAUCUCUUUGCCUCUCCCUUUCUCUCUCUGAAAUCAAUAAAAACAUAUUA